UUUCAACUGCGUGAAGGAUGGAAACGGUAUCCUUUUUGUUUGUUUUAAGAUUGCCACGUCGUUCCGACUCGCAAUGACAAACAAAAAGAUAAAGUGGACAGCCUGACCGAAU
rnacentral:sRNA from 2 species